rnacentral:lncRNA from 1 species
CAUAAGUUUCUGCAGAUCAGCCUGCCCGGCAACUGGCAUCAUCAUUCCAGGGAUUUGAUAGCCGAUGUUUGGCCAAGUUUGAGUGGGUAUGCUCGAGCCGUUGGAUGCAGGCUGUUGAGUAUUUCCAGGAGCGGAUUUAGCUGCAGCAGCCAUGAGAAGAGACUGUUGCUGUGCUAGCAUAGCUAGUUGCUGUGCAGGCUGUUGAGUAUUUCCAGGAGCAGAUUUAGCUGCAGCAGCCAUGAGAAGAGACUGUUGCUGUGCUAGCAUAGCUAGUUGCUGUGCAGGCAGUUGAGUAUUUCCAGGAGCAGAUUUAGAAGCAGCAGCCAUGAGAAGAGACUGCUGCUGUGAUAGCAUAGAUAGUUGCUGUUGAUGCAUCGCAAAAGGUGACACCAUAUUGGAC